CUUAGAGCUAGAACAGAGACGUGCACAUGAUUAUACAGGGGCAGGGGCUCAAGUUUUUUCCAGUUGUUUAUACAAUAUGGAAAUUAAUGUGAAAUUAAAAAACAAAGUAUUAAUAGAAAGGUAAUGAAUGUCCUGUGUAGGUGACAGUGAUAUCCAAUAGGCUAGGCACUCACGAGGCUGGCUGUGGCAAGUGUAAGUGAAAGCAACAUGCACUGGCAGGAAGAACAGCAAACGCCGAUGAAGGAAAAGGGUCUUUGCAGUGAUGGGCGUUACCAGAGAGGGCGAUGGCCAGAGGACGCGAAUAGGACGGGGAGGCAGCGCGUUGGGGGGGGGGACGCGACACAGCUCGGGCCCGCCAGUGCCCCAACGGGGUCCUAGUUAGGGCCCGAGCCAGCUGCAGAGCAGCCGGGCGUAGGCCCUAUUAUUCCCCAAGUGGUUUUUUAGGGCCCGAGCCAGCUGCAGAGCAGCCGGGCGUAGGCCCUAUUAUUCCCCAAGUGGUUUUUCUUUGUUUCUUUCUUUCUUUCUUUCUUUCUUUCUUUCUUUCUUCUUUUUCCUCCCCUUUGAACUGGAAAAUGGCCCACUUCCCACUGGCGAAAACUCAUGAAAUUUGGCAGGACGACCGGGCCUGGUGAAAAAUUCGAUAUUCUGAAGUCGCCCAAACAAUAAAAUGCAAAAUGGCUCCAUAGCGCCCCCUAAGGUGGAAAUUCACACUAUUGACUGUCACGCCUGUACGCUUUGUCAUAUUGACACAAAAAUUGACACACAUAUGUAUCUCAAUAAGAUCUACAAAAAAGUCAGUGCGGGCGUAUCUGUCAAAUGUACGGUUAAAGGGUUAUUCCGCAUUUUUUGCCGAUCCGCACACAUUGGAAUUUCGCUAACUCCUCCGAAGGCUUUUGUUCCACCGGCACCACAUUUGCUCAGGCCAAUCUACACCCCAUGGCCAUUAAAAGUUAUUCAAAUCAUGACGCUGCACCCCACGGUUUAGGUUCUAGGGGGCGCCAAAAAUAACCCUAAAAUCCACAUAUUUAAAAGUCUUAUAACUUUUUAUUUUUGUCCUCACUGGCCUCCAAGUUUUCUAGGAUGAUGCAAUGUCCAGCCAUCAACACAUCUGUGAAGGAAUUUUUACUCGCCAAAAGAGCGCCCCCCAUGGCAGGAGAAAAAAGUCAAUUUUUUCUUGUCCCCUAAGGUGAAAAUACACAUUGUAGAGUGUCACGCCUGUACGCUUUGGCAAAAUGACACAAAAAUUGACACACACAUGUAUCUCAAUAAGAUCUACAAAAAAGUCCAUGCGCGCGUAUCUGUCAAAUGUACGGUUAAAGGGUUAUUCCCCUUUUUUGCCGAUACGCACACAUUGGAAUUUCGCUAACUCCUCCGAAGGCUUUCGUUCCACCGGCACCACAUUUGCUCAGGCCAAUCUACACCCCAUGGCCAUUAAAAGUUAUUCAAAUCAUGAUGCUGCACCCCAUGGUUUAGGUUCUAGGGGGCGCCAAAAAUAACCCAAAAAUCCACAUUCUUAAAUGUUUUAUAACUUUUUUUUUUUUGUCCUCACUGGCCUCCAAGUUUUCUAGGAUGAUGCAAUGUCCAGCCAUCAACACAUUUGUGAAGGAAUUUUUACUCCCCAAAAGAGCGCCCCCCCCAUGGUAGGAGAAAAAAGUCAAUUUUUUCUUGUCCCCUUACAUGAAAAUACACAUUGUUGAGUGUCACGCCUGAACGCUUUGUCAUAUUGACACAAAAAUUGACAAUCAUGUGUAUCUCAAUUAGAUCUACGAAAAAGUCAAAGAGCGCGUAUCUGUAUAAUGUACGGUUAAAGGGCUAUUUUGCAUUUUUUGCCGAUUCGCACACAUUGGAAUGUGGCUAUCUCCUCCUAAGGCUUUCGUCCCACCGAUACCAAAUUUGCUCAGGGCAAUCUACACCCCAUGCCCAUUCAAAGUUGUAAAAAUCAUGACGCUGCACCCCACGGUUUACGUUCUAGGGGGCGCCAAAGAUGACCCAAAAAUCCACAUUCUUAAAAGUCAUUUUGGCCACUGCAGGAGUACAGAGUACUGCAGUUCUAGGGGGCGCCAAAGAUGACCCAAAAAUCCACAUUCUUAAAAGUCUUUUUGGCCACUGCAGGAGUACAGAGUACUGCAGGAUACACACACAUAUACACACACGCCAACAUACACACACACACACACACACACACACACACACACACACACACACACACACACACACACACACACUCAGAGUCUGUUUUUUAGCACCUGCAAAAACAUGCUGUUUACAUAUUUGACAAGAAUGCAGAGGCUUCCUUUUGCCCCUGAAAAAAAUCAAAUUUCAAACACAACUUGACUGUUCAUUUCUCCAAAAGACAACCAUGAAGCUCCAUCCAAACCUGAAGCAGAUAGUUGGUGCAUGUGUACAGUAACCUGAGGGGAGUGAGGUGACUAUUUCUGAGGAGAACAUGAGCAGUGAAGAUUCACCUUGGAGCUAGAACAGGGACGUGCACAUGAUUAUACAGGGGCAGGGGCUCAAGUUUUUUCCAGUCAUUUAUACAAUAUGGAAAUUAAUGUGAAAUUAAACCACAAAUAUGUGUGAUGAACUGUUUUUAAAACUUAAACUUCAAAUAAAAAUUGUAAACUUCAAAACACAUGCAAAUUUUUAACAAAGAACAUAGUAAUUUACCUCUAUUUACAUCAAAAUGCAGGCAAUGGCCCAGGCGUUCUUUGUAAAAUUAUUUACAAAACACUGUAUAGUCUCACAAAUGUCACUUUUUAUUUAUGCCACUACAAAAAAACAUGAUGUAAAUGAUGCAUGAUGUAAAACAUGAUGUAAAAAACUUGUGUGGAUCCUCCUCUAUGUCAGUCCAUGUGUAAUUUUUCCAUAAUUCUUUGUUUUUUGCAGCAUUUUUGUUAGUGUAACUGCAGAUUGUGCUGACAGUGUCUAUGGCAAAAAAAAAAAAAAAAACUGAAAAUGCCUCAACAUGAACCCCUGGUGGUCUCUGAGGGUGAAACCUGCUAACUGCUGCAGCUUUGUCAGCUUUAGUCUCCCAUGCAGAGCUCGGAGCGCAUGUGUGGCUCUGCACCCUUAGCAGCGUUGCUAACUCCUCAGUAAGGAAAGCCUGCUUCAUGUCAGAGUCUCUAAACUCCAGAAGAAGUCGAUAAAAGUCCCUUUCUUUCUAAAAAAAAAGUCGUUAGGGGGUCUGAAAAGUCAUUGAAUCUAACAACAAAGUCGCUAGGUUUGCAACUACGUGUCCCAGACUGCAUCCCUGCUGAGAGUUCCUCCCUCCCUUCUCAUGUUGCAGGAAGAACGUAAGCGCCCGCCCCUUGUCAAUCAGUCACCAUAUAAUUUUGGAUUGGUUGUUGUGGUGAAGUUUUCCACCAAUAGGAGAGAUGUUGUGGUGUGUUUUUUUUUUCUUUGGCAAGCCUUUUCCGCCUGUAAGACCUGUCUCUAAUGUCUGCAUGCUAUGUUUUCCUGUCUCAUACAGCGCGAUCGAGCGCCGAACGUGAUCAAAAUAGGCAGAAAAAAAGUAUCGUGGACAUAAUUUAUCAUAACUCUGGUUUUAUUUGGCCUAUCAACACAAUUUGAAAACUGGUGUAUAGUUUGAGGUCCUCACUUUUGAGAUAAGUUGAAACGGAGAGUCAACGAGGCUCCGUCUUGCUGCUACAUCCGGUUAAAUAUGUAAUGUGACUUGAACGCUGGGGAGCGUCAAUCGACUGCAGAGCCAGCAGACAAAGUAGUUGUGGCCACUGAAAGGCACAUAUUUGUCAUAUGCUAUAAUCCUAACAUAUUUUAAUGCUUUUUCUAUUUAAACCUAAUGGAUCUAAGGUUUGACCUUCAAAAUUUAGGAAGAAUAUGUUUUUGCAGUAAUGACCCCGUUAAACAACCAGAGGUCCUUUUCUAAAGUUUAUGGAAAUUUUAGUGAAGGCCUUGGUUUCUUUCCUUGCAAAAUGUAUAGAAAUAAUAAAGCUAAAUUCCAUAAAAUGGUCUUGGCGUAUUAGCAGUGAUAUAAAAUAGUGGUUUGAAUAUGAAUGAACAACAACAAAAAAAAAACAUCAACAGAGCCUUUUUGAGUUGGGAUUCUUUCAUUAUCACACAAAAACAGACAUAGACAGACAUCUAAAGGGAAAGGGAAUGAUCAGCCCUCCUAACUCUCAGAAGAAUCUUCAAAAUUCACCUCAGAAAUAUGCUUAUUAUUCUUCUCAGAGUACUGCAGGAUAUACACACACACACACUCAGAGUCUUUUUUUUAGCACCUGCAAAAACAUGCUAUUUACAUAUUUGACUAGAAUGCAGAGGCCCCUUUUUGCCCCUGAAAAAAAUCAAAUUUCAAACACAACUUGACUGCUCAUUUCUCCAAAAGACAACCAUGAAGCUCCAUCCAAACCUGAAGCAGGCAGUUGGUGCAUGUGUACAGUCACCUGAGGGGAGUGAGGUGACUACUUCUGAGGAGAACAUGAGCAGUGAAGAUUCACCUUGGAGCUAGAACAGGGACGUGCACAUGAUUAUACAGGGGCAGGGGCUCAAGUUUUUUCCAGUCAUUUAUACAAUAUUGAAAUUAAUGUGAAAUUAAAAAACAAGUAUUAAUAGAAAGGUUAUGACUGUCCUGUGUAGAUGACAGUGAUAUCCAAUAGGCUAGGCACUCACGAGGCUGGCUGUGGCAAGUGUAAGUGAAAGCAACACGCACUGGCAGGAAGAACAGCAAACGCCGAUGAAGGAAAGGGUCUUUGCAGUGAUGGGCGUUACCAGAGAGGGCGAUGGCCAGAGGACGCGAAUGGGACGGGGAGGCAGCGCGUUGGGGGGGGCAGCGCGACACGGCUCGGGCCCGCCAGUGCCCCAACGGGGCCCUAGUCUUUGUUUCUUUCUUUCUUUCUUUCUUCUUUUUCCUCCCCUUUGAACUGGAAAAUGGCCCACUUCCCACUGGCGAAAACUCAUGAAAUUUGGCAGGACGACCGGGCCUGGUGAAAAAUUCGAUAUUCUGAAGUCGCCCAAACAAUAAAAUGCAAAAUGGCUCCAUAGCGCCCCCUAAGGUGGAAAUUCACACUAUUGACUGUCACGCCUGUACGCUUUGUCAUAUUGACACAAAAAUUGACACACAUAUGUAUCUCAAUAAGAUCUACAAAAAAGUCAGUGCGGGCGUAUCUGUCAAAUGUACGGUUAAAGGGUUAUUUCGCAUUUUUUGCCGAUCCGCACACAUUGGAAUUUCGCUAACUCCUCCGAAGGCUUUCGUUCCACCGGCACCACAUUUGCUCAGGCCAAUCUACACCCCAUGGCCAUUAAAAGUUAUUCAAAUCAUGACGCUGCACCCCACGGUUUAGGUUCUAGGGGGCGCCAAAGAUAACCCUAAAAUCCACAUAUUUAAAAGUCUUAUAACUUUUUAUUUUUGCCCUCACUGGCCUCCAAGUUUUCUAGGAUGAUGCAAUGUCCAGCCAUCAACACAUUUGUGAAGGAAUUUUUACUCCCCAAAAGAGCGCCCCCCCAUGGCAGGAGAAAAAAGUCCAUUUUUUCUUGUCCCCUAAGGUGAAAAUUCACACUAUUGACUGUCACGCCUGUACGCUUUGUCAAAAUGACACAAAAAUUGACACACACAUGUAUCUCAAUAAGAUCUACAAAAAAGUCCAUGCGCGCGUAUCUGUCUAAUGUACGGUUAAAGGGUUAUUUCGCAUUUUUUGCCGAUCCGCACACAUUGGAAUUUCGCUAACUCCUCCGAAGGCUUUCGUUCCACCGGCACCACAUUUGCUCAGGCCAAUCUACACCCCAUGGCCAUUAAAAGUUAUUCAAAUCAUGACGCUGCACCCCACGGUUUACGUUCUAGGGGGCGCCAAAGAUAACCCAAAAAUCCACAUUUUUAAAAGUCUUAUAACUUUUUAUUUUUGUCCUCACUGGCCUCCAAGUUUUCUAGGAUGAUGCAAUGUCCAGCCAUCAACACAUUUGUGAAGGAAUUUUUACUCCCCAAAAGAGCGCCCCCCCAUGGCAGGAGAAAAAAGUCCAUUUUUUCUUGUCCCCUAAGGUGAAAAUACAUAUUGUUGAGAUUCACGCCUAUACGCUUUGUCAUUUUGACACAAAAUUUGACAAUCACGUGCCUUGCCUGGUAUCAUUUUUUUCAGCACAACCUCACCUGUGUCAAUUUACAGUUAUUUUACCAUUUUGACAUACUAUAUUUACACAUUGGACCCAAAUUCACACACAAAACAUAAAAUCCGAGUGGAAAAAAGUAACGUUUUUACUGUGAAAACCACAAAUAUGUGUGAUGAACUGUUUUUAAAACUUAAACUUCAAAUAAAAAUUGUAAACUUCAAAACAUAUGCAAAUUUUUAACAAAGAACAUAGUAAUUUACCUCUAUUGACAUCAAAAUGCAGGCAAUGGCCCAGGUGUUCUUUGUAAAAUUAUUUACAAAACACUGUAUAGUCUCACAAAUGUCACUUUUUAUUUAUGCCACUACAAAAAAACAUGAUGUAAAUGAUGCAUGAUGUAAAACAUGAUGUAAAAAACUUGUGUAGAUCCUCCUCUAUGUUAGUCCAUGUGUAAUUUUUCCAUAAUUCUUUGUUUUUUGCAGCAUUUUUGUUAGUGUAACUGCAGAUUGUGCUGACAGUGUCUAUGGCAAAAAAAAAAAAAAAAAACUGAAAAUGCCUCAACAUGAACCCCUGGUGGUCUCUGAGGGUGAAACCUGCUAACUGCUGCAGCUCUGUCAGCUUCAGUCUCCCAUGCAGAGCUCGGAGCGCAUGUGUGGCUCUGCACCCUUAGCAGCGUUGCUAACUCCUCAGUAAGGAAAGCCUGCUUCAUGUCAGAGUCUCUAAACUCCAGAAGAAGUCGAUAAAAGUCACUUUCUUUCUAAAAAAAAGUCGUUAGGGGGUCUGAAAAGUCAUUGAAUCUAACAACAAAGUCGCUAGGUUUGCAACUACGUGUCCCAGACUGCAUCCCUGCUGAGAGUCCCUCCCUCCCUUCUCAUAUUGCAGGAAGAACGUAAGUUCCCGCCCCUUGUCAAUCAGUCACCAUAUAAUUUUGGAUUGGUUGUUGUGGUGAAGUUUUCCACCAAUAGGAGAGAUGUUGUGGUGUGUAUUUUUUUUCCUUUGGCAAGCCUUUUCCGCCUGUAAGACCUGUCGCUAAUGUCUGCAUGCUAUGUUUUCCUGUCUCAUACAGCGCGAUCGAGCGCCGAACGUGAUCAAAAUAAGCAGAAAACAAGUAUCGGGGACAUAAUUUAUCAUAACUCUGGUUUUAUUUGGCCUAUCAACACAAUUUAAAAACUGGUAUAUAGGUUGAGGUCCUCACUUUUGAGAUAAAUUGAAACGGAGAGUCAACGAGGCUCCGUCUUGCAGCUACAUCCGGUUAAAUAUGUCAUGUGACUUGAACGCACACACAGACACACACACACGCACACACACACACUCAGAGUCUGGUUUGUAGCACCUGCAAAAACAUGCUAUUUACAUAUUUGACAAGAAUGCAGAGGCUCCUUUUGCCCCUGAAAAAAAUCAAAUUUCAAACACAACUUGACUGGUCAUUUCUCCAAAAGACAACCAUGAAGCUCCAUCCAAACCUGAAGCAGGCAGUUGGUGCAUGUGUACAGUAACCUGAGGGGAGUGAGGUGAGUGCUUCUGAGGAGAACAUGAGCAGUGAAGAUUUACCUUAGAGCUAGAACAGAGACGUGCACAUGAUUAUACAGGGGCAGGGGCUCAAGUUUUUUCCAGUCGUUUAUACAAUUUGGAAAUUAAUGUGAAAUUAAAAAACAAAGUAUUAAUAGAAAGGUAAUGACUGUCCUGUGUAGGUGACAGUGAUAUCCAAUAGGCUAGGCACUCACGAGGCUGGCUGUGGCAAGUGUAAGUGAAAGCAACAAGCACUGGCAGGAAGAACAGCAAACGCCGAUGAAGGAAAAGGGUCUUUGCAGUGAUGGGCGUUAC